rnacentral:rRNA from 1 species
AUUGAACGCUGGCGGCAGGCCUAACACAUGCAAGUCGAGCGGAAACGAUCCUAGCUUGCUAGGAGGCGUCGAGCGGCGGACGGGUGAGUAACGCGUGAGAAUCUACCCAUGAGUGGGGGACAACCCGGGGAAACUCGGGCUAAUACCGGAUACGCCCUACGGGGUAAAGCAGGGGACCUUCGGGCCUUGCGCUGAUGGAUGAGCUCGCGUCGGAUUAGCUUGUUGGUGAGGUAAAGGCUCACCAAGGCGACGAUCCGUAGCUGGUCUGAGAGGAUGAUCAGCCACACCGGGACUGAGACACGGCCCGGACUCCUACGGGAGGCAGCAGUGGGGAAUCUUGGACAAUGGGGGCAACCCUGAUCCAGCCAUGCCGCGUGUGUGAAGAAGGCCUUCGGGUUGUAAAGCACUUUCAGCAGGGAGGAAGGCUUACCCCUAAUACGGGUGAGUACUUGACGUUACCUGCAGAAGAAGCACCGGCUAAUUUCGUG